UCCAAACGCUCUUUGAACACCACCAGUCUCGGUGACUCCACCACCUCUCUGGGCAGCCCAUUCCAGUGCCUGACUACCCUUUCAGAGAAGUAGUAUUUCCUAACGUCCAACCUGAACCUUCCCUGGUGCAGCUUGAAGCCAUUCCCUCUAAUCCUAUCACUAGUCACCCGAGAGAAGAGGCUGAUACCCAGCUCACUACAACCUCCCUUCAGGUAGUUAACAACCUCCCUUCAGGUAGUUAGGAUAGCUUUCUAACAAAAAAUAAUAAGUGUUAUGGAUUAAAAUUGUAUCUCAGAGCAGGUGUUAUUUCCUUAUCAACUACUUUAAGGCUGAUUUAGGGAGUAAAAGAAGACUGAAAAGAAAGAGAAAGAGAGAAAAGGAAAGAGAAGAGAGAGGGAGAGGGAGAAAACAGAGGGGUUUCACCACUACUUGGAUCCAGCAUUGUCUUGAAUUGAGGAUCUUUACUGGGUGGUGUAUCACGAAAGGUAAAUGUAUGCUCACUUGCAUAUAGUUCAGUUUGUCCAAGACCACCCUUUGGAUGGAAACUUCCUUGUGUCUGUGCAGUUAGCUGUUCCAGAAGAUUCAGUGAUUCCUCCUCAGUUUGUUGCUCAUACCGAUAGCUUUCAGUCAGUAGAACUACUCAAGCUGAUGUUUUUACUUAGCUGAUGCUUUUCAGCCAUAAGAGGAAACAGAUGCUGUCCGUAACAGAAAGUAGAUGCUGUCCAUAAGAAGAAGUAGAGAAAAGCUGGUUUGCUGCUCUGCCUCCACAUGUCUCCAUCCAUCCUUCUCCUAGCUCUCCUUUUUCACAACUUUCUGCUCAUGUUAUUUGAAUCAGCACAGGUUAAGUUCCUCAUUGGUCUCGGACACCACCUCCUGGCUCAAACAACAAAUAGUAGAGUGUGGAUGGAUGGCUGACCCAGGAAGGUCAUGUUUAUCUCCCCCUGGUUCACUGUGAGCAGAACAGCCGCUAUGGAUCACUGUCUCACACAGAACAACGAUGGAAGUAGGUGAAAGGAAUGCAGAGCUGCGAUAGAGACCGCUGUGCCAGGUGCCGUGAGACAAGCCACAAGCAACUGCAAGUUAUGAGAAGCGUGCCUUGUUGUACUUAGCAUGUUAUUUGUA
ensembl:lncRNA